rnacentral:lncRNA from 1 species
CUUAAUUUUAAAAUUUAAUUAUUUUAUACAAAGCACACAUCUUCUUGUCAAUAUAUACAGAACGAUUGUGCUCUUAGGAGCACGGAGGCCUCCAUAUUUCUGAGCCGUUUUUAAUGAUGGAACUUUCGAAUUCACUCCAUUAGACUUGAUCCGGCAAACUUGAAAUUUCUAGAAAAUAAAUUUUAUGAUUUUUUGAUAUUAUUUACCUAACAAUCAAAAGAAUUUAACAUCAAAAGCUGAAAAUAAAAAUUCUAUAAAAAUAAUGAUAUAGCACUAAAAUUUUUUAUUAGAGAUAAUAAUCCUGUUGUUGUAGAUAGUAUAUAGAAUUUUGAAUCAAAAUUGCAUUUCAUUUGAAUACUUUUACACCGUUAAACUUAAAAACGGCAGACAUCAAUCAUGAAAAAUAAUUAAUUUUUAAUCUUUUCAAUCACUAGGCAAAUGAUAUCGAAAAGCACAAAAAUUAUUUUCUAGAAACUUCAAAUACGCUAGAUCAAGUUUAACGGAGCCGAUCGUCGAUUCGAAAAUUCUAUUAUUGAAAACAGCUCAAAAGCGCGAAAGCCUAUUGCUCUUAAAAGUACAACAGUCCUACUCUGUUUCUCUGUUUCUCUCUCUCUAUAUAUAUAUAUUGAGAAAUUAUUAGAGGGAAAGUUUUUUAUUCUUACUUUUUACUAUAUAAAACAAGGGGCAUUUUAACAAUCUGUUUGAAUAUCAAGAUAACUUUUCUAAGUUAUCUACUAUCUAGUGAUAACUUAUUCAAUGUGAAAAUAUUUUAUAUUGUGAUUGAAUAUUAAAAAUUUGAUUUUUGCUGCUCAAAGAAUUUUGAUAUUUAUAUUUUGAUAUUAAAAUAUUUUAAUUAUAAAAUGAUUUAUUUUAUUUAGGAAAAAUAGCUUUGAAAGCUGCAUGAUGUGCUAUAUUAGGUGAAUUUUUUAUUUAUCAAAUACUAAAUUUUUUUGAGCAAAUUAAAAAAAAUAUGUUAAAUAAAAUACUUAUGUAGGGUAUCAUUUGGUUCGAGGAUAAGCAAAAAGUGGGUAUUCCGAGGAUAGGUAUAAAUUGAGGUAUAAGCGGGCAUUAGCUCAAUUUUGCGUUUGGAUGAAAAUUAGGUUAUUCCUGAAAAUAAGAAAAAAAGUAUUUGGUUAAGUAAGAUGGAAUAAGAAUUAAAGUGGAUAGUUGUAAAUAAAAAAUAAUAAUAUUAUUCGUUUCUUUAUAUUAGAAUUUGAAUUUUUAUAUUUUAUAUUUAUAUUUUAAAAUUUAAAAUAUAAACUUUUAAAUUUUAAAAAUCAAAAUUAAAUUUUAAAAUUUUAAAAUCUCAAAUUUAUAAUUUUAAAAAAUUAAAAUUUUAAAUUUUAAACUUUAAAUUUAAGAUGAAAUUUUAAUUUAAAAAUACAAAAUAUCAAAUUCUAAAUAUAAAAAAUUAAAAUAUCAAAUUUUAAAAUUUAAAAUUAAACAUUUUAAAUUUUAAAUUUUAAAUUUUGUAAUUUUAAAAAUUAUAAAUUUUAAUUUUUAAACUUACGAAAUUUAAAUUUUAUAAUAAAUUAAAAAUUCUCUCACUCACUCUCUCUCUCUUCACGGGUUCACCUUGGGGUUCCCGAGAGGCUAUUCUAGAAUAACCCGUUAAGGAGGAAAUUAGUGUUCCCACUAUUUUUUAUUUGUGUUUGGAGGAUAAGGAUGGAAUAAGCCCUUUAUUCCACCCUUAUCCCCGAACCAAACAUAACCUAGCUAAAGUUUAAAUAACCUUUUGGAGCUUGAAUAGCUUGGCCUGUUUAGAAGUAAAAUUAUCUAUUUGUAAAAAAUAAAAAUAAAAAUAAAAUAAAAUAAAAUAAAAUUUUAAUAAAUCCAAGAUAUAGACAUAAAUUACAUAAAAAAAUAUUUUUUUAAUAUGCCCAAAAUAUGAACUUAAAUUAAAUAAAAGAAUAAAAACACGAAAUCUAGUUACAUCUAAACAAGAACAUUUUAUUCUAAUAACAUGUAAAUAAUUAUUAUCUAUAACAACUUAAACUAUCCAAAAAUAAUAUCUUAAUAUUUUUAUUUAAUACAAAUUUUAUUUU